rnacentral:lncRNA from 1 species
AUUCAAAUUCGAGUCAGAUACAGAUAAAAUCCAAAUCCGAAUUCAAGUCAGUCAGGUUUUUAUUUUUUAUAUCGAUCAAUGGGUACGGAUACUUAAAAUUUUAUCCGAAUAUGAAUCUAAAUAGAGCGGAUUUAUCUAAUGUUAAAUGAAUAUAGUUUUGGAUAUUGAUAUCAAAUUCAAAACCCGGCAGAUAUAGAUACGGAUAUGGAUUUUGACUGCGCGUACCCGACCCGAACCCGAAACCCGAAUUUAUUUUAUAUUAUAUAUAAUAUGCAUAUAAAAAUUUGAUAUUAUAUUUGAAUUUGUAUUUUAAAAAUUUAGAUUUAAUAUAAUAUAUUUUGAAAUAUUGAAAAAUGAAAUAAUUUUUUCUGGUUCGAAAUUUAGGGUUCGGAUUCGAAUUUUGGAUUUUUGGUCAGAUUCGAGUUUGGAUAUGGAUUUUUAAAAUCCGUCGAGUUCGGAAUCCGACCUGUCGAUAUCCCUAAUCCAUAUAGCAUUAGAUGAACUCACCGACUUUGAAUUUAGAUUCGAAUUCGAAUAAAAUUUCGGGUAUCUGCGCCCAUUGGUAUCCCUAUCUGCAUGGCCCCUCACCAUU